AUUGAACGCUGGCGGCAGACUUAACACAUGCAAGUUGAUCGGUAGCAGGAGAAAGCUUGCUUUCUUUCUGACGAGUGUCGAACGGGUGAGUAAUGACAGGGAGUAUGGCGUAUGGCCGGCGAUUACUACGGCAAUCCGUAUCUAAUACCAGGUAAUAGGUAAAGAUUAAAGUGUGGAACUUUGAGGCCGCAUGCCGUAAGAGCAGCCCUAACGGG
rnacentral:rRNA from 1 species